UACAGAGGGUGCGAGCGUUGAUCGGAAUUACUGGGCGUAAAGGGCGCGUAGGCGGUGAGGUAUGUGUGGUGUGAAAGCCCCGGGCUUAACCUGGGAAGUGCAUCGCAAACUAUCUGACUGGAGUAUAUGAGAGGGUGGCGGAAUUUCCGGUGUAGCGGUGAAAUGCGUAGAGAUCGGAAGGAACGUCAAUGGCGAAGGCAGCCACCUGGCAUAAUACUGACGCUGAGGCGCGAAAGCGUGGGGAGCGAACAGG
rnacentral:rRNA from 1 species